CAAGGCAUCAAAAUGUCAACAACAGGAUGCUUCCAGAAGCCUCGCAGAGGAGUUCCAGCAGCGCUAACGCCACCCCUCGAGCAGCGGCGCCCGGGGAGGAGGUUACCCAGCACGGGCUGCAGGAGCGCAUGUUCACCGCAGGAUGGCAGCAGAAUCCCUUGAACCACUCAAACCAUCAGAUUUGAGGAUUAACUCAGGACACGCGGAAUGCUUCCGUGCUCAUCUGACGGCCAAGAUGGCAUCAUAGGACUUCCCGGUCCGGCAGACCUGGACGUUGCGGAAGCCCGACUUGUUGAGCAUGUGAGUGUAUUCGGAUGGGGUGCGYUCCCUGCCCUGCGUCUGCACCAGCAUGUUGAGGGAGAAGAUCUGCGCCAUGAUGGRCCCUCGUCUGUUUUCAAACAGCAGCGCCUCCACCAGCAGGACGCCCCCACCUGGCGGGAAGACGACAAAACACACURAGCUGACCACAACUGUUCCGUUUAAAUGACACCAGACUUCUGUAACUCGUGUUACUGGUAUGGUGAACCGAUUGUAGUUUUCUGGCCGAUCAUCGAUCUUUUAAAGCCCUCAUCUGCUGA